UUCUUCAUGGAGAGUUUGAUCCUGGCUCAGGACGAACGCUGGCGGCGUGCUUAACACAUGCAAGUGGAGCGACGAACCGGGGCUUGCCCCGGGGCAGAGCCGCGAACGGGUGAGUAACACGUGGGUAACCCACCCCGAUGACCGGGACAACCCGAGGAAACUCGGGCUAAUACCGGAUGUGUUCUGUUUCCAUCAGGAGAUAGAGCAAAGAUAGCUUCGGCCUUCGCAUCGGGACGGGCCCGCGGCCCAUUAGCUUGUUGGUGGGGUAACGGCCUACCAAGGCGACGAUGGGUAGCUGGUCUGAGAGGACGAUCAGCCACACUGGGACUGAGACACGGCCCAGACUCCUACGGGAGGCAGCAGUGGGGAAUCUUGCACAAUGCGCGAAAGCGUGAUGCAGCAACGCCGCGUGG
rnacentral:rRNA from 1 species